AAGCUAAUACCGGAUAAUAUUUCGUAACCGCAUGAUUCGAUAGUGAAAGANGGUUUUGCUAUCACUUAUAGAUGGACCCGCGCCGUAUUAGCUAGUUGGUAAGGUAACGGCUUACCAAGGCGACGAUACGUAGCCGACCUGAGAGGGUGAUCGGCCACACUGGAACUGAGACACGGUCCAGACUCCUACGGGAGGCAGCAGAA
rnacentral:rRNA from 1 species